UGAGGAAUAUUGGUCAAUGGGUGCAAGCCUGAACCAGCCAUCCCGCGUGAAGGACGACUGCCCUAUGGGUUGUAAACUUCUUUUGUAUAGGGAUAAACCUACCCUCGUGAGGGUAGCUGAAGGUACUAUACGAAUAAGGAUCGGCUAACUCCGUGCCAGCAGCCGCGGUAAUACGGAGGAUCCGAGCGUUAUCCGGAUUUAUUGGGUUUAAAGGGUGCGCAGGCGGGAUGUUAAGUCGGCGGUGAAAUUUUGCAGCUCAACUGUAAAAGGGCCUUCGAUACUGGCCUCCUUGAGUGUGGAGGAANUAGGCGGAAUUUGUGGUGUAGCGGUGAAAUGCUUAGAUAUCACGAGGAACUCCGAUUGCGCAGGCAGCUUACGAAGCCACAACUGACGCUCAUGCACGAAGGCGUGGGGAUCAAACA
rnacentral:rRNA from 1 species